AACGAACGCUGGCGGCAUGCCUAACACAUGCAAGUCGAACGAGACCUUCGGGUCUAGUGGCGCACGGGUGCGUAACGCGUGGGAAUCUGCCCUUGGGUUCGGAAUAACAGUUGGAAACGCCUGCUAAUACCGGAUGAUGUCUUCGGACCAAAGAUUUAUCGCCCAGGGAUGAGCCCGCGUAGGAUUAGCUUGUUGGUGAGGUAAAGGCUCACCAAGGCGACGAUCCUUAGCUGGUCUGAGAGGAUGAUCAGCCACACUGGGACUGAGACACGGCCCAGACUCCUACGGGAGGCAGCAGUGGGGAAUAUUGGACAAUGGGCGAAAGCCUGAUCCAGCAAUGCCGCGUGAGUGAUGAAGGCCUUAGGGUUGUAAAGCUCUUUUACCCGGGAUGAUAAUGACAGUACCGGGAGAAUAAGCCCCGGCUAACUCCGUGCCAGCAGCCGCCGUAA
rnacentral:rRNA from 1 species